UUCCAGUAUCCCUUCAAGAGCCAAGGUCUCCAGGCCAUAUAAUUCCAUUCUGGAUACCUUGCCUCUUGAAGGGAUACUGAAAUCUAGCCAGUUAAAAAAGUGGAUGAGACGAUAUAUUACUCUAUUAUUCCAAUUACCUGCUUUUGGGAAAGAGAAUUAGGGGUUAAACCUGACUGGGAUGUGGUAUAGGUCAGGUGUUUUACUACCAGCAAGAACCUUGCACACCAACUGAUCCACUAUAAACAGGGCAUACAUUACUCCAGGACUGUGCCCUACGAUGGAUUGGCACCCUGUCCAGGGUGUACCCCGCCUCGUGCCCAAUGCUCCCUGGGAUAGGUUUCCCCGUAACCCUGAAAAGGAUUAAGCGGUAUAGAAGAUGGAUGGACUGAUGGACAUUACUCCAGGUUCAUUGCAUAAAAUGAAUAAAUGAUCCGUAUUGUCAUCUUUGUAAUAAAUCUACCGUAGGCUCUUACAUACACGUUUUGGGAACGCCCUAUAGUGUUUUCAUUCUGGACAUUUGUAUGCACCGUCCUUGCGGACAUUUUACACCUGGAGAUACCCAAGAAUCCCCUGCUCCUCCUCUUAAAGCUUUGGGUGGAACCGUCCGCUCCUACGCUCCUCAACAAUUAUAAAUAAUUUCUUCGUUUUUUAAAAUUUAUUCAAACGGACUUUGGAAGACGUAGAUGUGCAAGAGGAAUAUUUUAAGGAUAGUUUUGUGCCCGAAUAAGUCUUAAUUCCCCUGUGUGAAUAUUCUACUCACCGAUGAAGACACAUUUAUCCGAAUUCCAUUAAAAGCGAGUUAUUUAUUAAGAAAAAUCAUGUUAACACAUAAGACAAACAACAACAACAAAAACAAAAACAAAAACACGUCGUCAUUCGUUAACUGCUUCGACACUGAGGAAACCACAUGUGCUUUGUAAUCCUGGAAACAAAACCAGUCCCUGCAUCCUCCCGGAAAGGAACAGCAUACAUAUUGAUUCCUGCUGCUGAUGUUUGGUGAAGAAAAGAUGAAAAUUUGGUUAGCUCUGAAGGUUCUUCUGUUCCUAUCAUGUUCUAGGAUCUCGGUAAUAACUUACACAAAUUCUGUACAUAAUUACAGCAGGCUUAAUACCUGACACAGCUUUCUCACAUACACACACACACAAAAUAAUAAUAAUAAUAAUAAUAAUAAUAAUAAUAAUAAUAAUAAUAAUAAUAAUAAUUCUACAGAAUGCAGCCAUGGAAAUAAGCGUCCUCUUUACAAUGCUGGCCUUCUCAUUGUACAGCGAAUAAUGACUCUGAAAAAUACAAGCGACUAUUCUUACACUUUAAAAACAAGCACUGGAAUGAAGCCCUUUGCACCUGCGAUCGUCAUGUUUCCUGAAAUUACUCGGCCGCCUUUCUGCGUUCCUUCUCAUGUCCUGGGAGAAGGUGGGUGUGGACCGAACGCUAGCUUCCGGAUCAGUGAAACACAGUACGUUAAGUCACUUUGGAAAAUGUCACCCCGAAUACAUUCAUUUUCAAGUCUGAUACAUGCUAGUUUAGGCAUGAGUGGUCUCGAAGCUCAAGCAGAAAACUUAAGACGGGUAUAAAUCCGCUAUUUAAAUACAAAACGUGAGUGACGCACACAAAGACGGUGAUAAGGAUAUCUUAAAUACGAUUCACACGGCACCCUGAUAGGAAGGAUAAACUGACAGGUAGCAGGGAAUAUUUAAGGCUGAUGUCGAGAUGCUGAUCGAGGAACGCAUGACCUUCGUCCUGAUGCGGUUUGAUUUCCGAUGCGCGAUUUACGGCGGUCUGUAAAAAACCCGGAAGUGCAACAGCAAAUCAGAAAACACUGCAAUAAAGUUUCAAAUGCAAUGGCGAAUUAAAGCCUUAAAGGAAGCCGGGUUAUUCAAAAGAAAGGAUUUCUCUUCGCUGUAAUGACUUUAUAUCCGCACUAGCGCUGUAAUGAUAUGCUGUAUCACAUUGUUCGAUAAGAGGCUCUCAAUGCGAUGCAUCUUCGUAUUGUUUAUUCCUCAUAAAAUACCGCUUAUGUUACGUGAGGUGUAAUAAACAUUUCAAUUUAAUAAUUGUUUUUUUUUUUUAAAUAGCGUAUUAGAUCGGGAAAGGCAGCAAUGGCUUCGCUUAGCGUCAGACAGGAACUGGAAGAUUCCCUGAAAUCUUUGAGGUCUGGUGUAGAAAGCGCUUCCUGAGAAGUUACGCCGGAGCGAGAUGUCACAGAACGCCGAAUACCUGUACAAUACAUCGGUGCUAAUAGCACAAACAUGUGCGACAUCAACUAGAUGAAGCCACAAAGCGAAGCACGCACUCAGCAAACUCUCUUCAUUCAGGCCUGUCGUUGCCGGUUCAAUCCAGGAUACAGAAAUCGCCACGGCGAUUGGGAAGUUCAUAUAUCCGGGACUGGAGAACCCAGGAUUUAAGAACACACCUAGAGCUACAGAGAGCUACGUGAGUGUGACGGUACAACUAGCUAACAGCAGAAUAAGAAAAAGCUCUGCGCUUCAGACAUGCCACCUGGAGUGACCCCAGUGGAAAUCUAACGCAGAGAUAGAAGAGUCUGAAUCCAUCACACGACAUCACACCGCCACAUUAUUACCUUUUAAUUAUUGUUCUUUUUACAGAAGCCCUAAGAGGCUAUGCAUUCUUAUUUUUUUCUUUCUUGUUUACUCGUGAUUUCGACUUAACAAAAGUUGUUUACUCGUGAUUUCGACAUGACAAAAAGUUGUUUACUCGUGAUUUCGACUUAACAAAAAGUUGUUUACUCGUGAUUUCGACUUAACAAAAAGUUGUUUACUCGUGAUUUCGACUUAACAAAAAUUGUUUACUCGUGAUUUCGACUAAACAAAAGUUGUUUACUCGUGAUUUCGACUUAACAAAAAGUUGUUUACUCGUGAUUUCGACUAAACAAAAGUUGUUUACUCGUGAUUUCGACUAAACAAAAGUUGUUUACUCGUGAUUUCGACUUAACAAAAAGUUGUUUACUCGUGAUUUCGACUAAACAAAAGUUGUUUACUCGUGAUUUCGAAAUAACAGUUGUUUACUCGUGAUUUCGACUUAACAAAAGUUGUUUACUCGUGAUUUCGACUUAACAAAAGUUGUUUACUCAUGAUUUCGACUUAACAAAAGUUGUUUACUCGUGAUUUCGACUUAACAAAAGUUGUUUACUCGUGAUUUCAAUAUAACAAAAGCUGUUUACUCGUGAUUUCGACUUAACAAAAGUUGUUUACUCGUGAUUUCGACGUUAUUUACUCGUGAUUAUGACUUAACAAAAAUUGUUUACUCGUGAUUUCGACAUAGCAAAAGUUGUUUUCUCACAACAUCAUUUUAUCAGGAGAAAAUCUCACGCCUUGUGAAUGGGACUGGUAUUGUAUGCAUGUUGUUGUCUUUGCCAUCAUCAUCAUCAUCAUCAUCAUCAUAUAUGUAAUAACUACCCGCUGUAGAGAUGGACCUUAUCUCCGCAUGAAGAGUGAUGGGUGUCCCCUGCUCCGGGAUCGCGCUACGCUUCUGCUGCCCCCAGAACAACUAAAAACAUGUUGUUAUUUCGAGAACAUACAAAAAUGAAGUCAUGACGAGAGCACGAGAAAACGAGAAAGAAUCAAAUAAGGGCUUCCGUAACUGUUCAUCUUAAACAUUUGGAUCGAUUCAAAAACGGAAAUCAAAAGCACGCUUUCAUUCAAUACGUAUAUUUCUCUGUAUUGAUAUCGCAUCGAGACACCACCGUAUCCUGUAUCGAAUGUGAAUUUCACGUCUUGCUACACCCCUGAUGAUCGUUACUAUACGUGAUUGCUGUCGUGUCUUCUGAUUUGCUGUUGAAGUAAGUAUGGUGGCCCAUAAAGGCGUCAACAUAAAGCUGAAUGAUGGUGAUACUUCAAUUCAGUUCGUUACAGUUUUUCCCAAUUGCACACACAGAACUGUGUUAUUAACGUUAACGUAGAGUCUUUACGUAGGAGUCUUAUUCCAAAACUCCUGAAAACAGUAACUGCAAAGUACUUCACAUUAGACACAAUGCUAUAACGUUCACUGACAAAAAGAAAAGAAAAGAAAAAAAAAUCGAAGGUCCGAGUUCCUCAUUUAGGACAGAUUUGAGGACAGCUUCACAUAUAGUAUUAGUACACCGGACCAACGUCCCCAUGAGAGUUCUGACAAACAUUGCGUGUUCAUAAACCAUCAUAGCGCAUCAUACUGAGCAGAACGUUUACAAAUGUAGCCGGAUAGCUAGUUGUGUACCUAAUGGUGGUUGUUUUGUUUAAAAUCGUAUGGUUUGUAGAUCGCCAGAAGUGAUACUGUGGUUAAAAUGAACUAGCUAAGGUAACACACACUCACCUUACCUGUCUGACUAGCAUGCUAGCUAGUAAGACUAACAUGCUAGUUAUCAAACAGUAGUGUUGUGUGAGCACUAAAUAAAUAAAUAAAUUAAAAAAAUUGCCUAUAUAAAUGAUCCUUUAAAGGAUGUGGUUAAUAACACAGCUUGGGGCUUGUUUUGCUCAAAUUUAGCUUGUUUUGCUAGGUGUCUAGCCUAAUUAGCGUUGAGUUAUUUUAAAGCUGUGUGUACACUGUGUGCAAGCAAAAGAGAAAAACCGCACUCCUGAGCAUCAAACCCAGACAAUAGCAGUGCCGCUAUAGUACACACACCACGAUAUCAGAUCAGGCUCUCGUCGUAUCGCACUUUCGGUUUUCUGUAAAAUCUCUCACGUCGUAGUAAAGACUCGAAGCGUGUCAGUGUGUCGGAAUACGACGAAACCACCUCGCUUUAGAGCUGGAGUGCAUUAAGUUCUCACGCUUCUUCUUGGUAGCUGCAGUCCUGACGAACGGACGUCUCCUCCCGCCCCCCCAUGAUUCUUUGCACAUUGGCACGUGCCGAGAAGUGAGAGUUUGAGAAAAGUUCUGCUCUGGGAUCGAAUAUGAAGAUCGUUUCCUCCGGACUUCAAAACAUGUUAAAAAAAAACGUUUGAUGUCUGAAGUCUGCAUCUAUAGUUUUUCGCUAGAGCUACGAGGUUAAUGUAGCUAAUAGAAAGUCUCUCUCACUCAAAAUCAUUCGCAUAAAUACCUGACUCAAACCGCAACCAGUUCUGGACGCCAUGUGACGGCUGGCUGGGAAAACGACGUUAUCGGGAAUUAAACUGCAGCCUGAAUCAGAAGCGUGGCUUCUCAUUGUAUGAGCAUAGGUGUAAAACUAAUACGCACAGGAACACAAAUACUCAUUAGGUGCUUUUACACGCGCCCAUUUUCGUCGAUCCGAAUUCAGACUCCGAAAGUACUGUACCGUAAUCCCUAAUUUCUCCAUCUGGGGAUUGAUAAACUAUUAUCUUAUCUUAUCUUAUCUAAACAUUGCGAUCCAAUUCAAAUAUCCGCUUACAGGUGCGUUACAUUUCAGCCAUGAGAACUCUCGGAGUGAAACCGUGAGCUUUUAUAGAUGGGGACGGAGUGUAAAUAGGUUUGGUCUGGCGCACUCGAGCUGUGACGCGGCUGCUGCGCGAGUACGAAUACUUGCACCGAUAGUCAUGGAGAGACAUGCGGCCCCGAACGGAGCUAUUUAUCAACAGAAAGAAAGACAAAUGCGGCACGUAGCGUUAUUUACAGAGAUGAAGGGCUUAAGACCAGCCAGUCCUGACUGUAAUCUAUAAGCAUACAUAAAAUUUCAUUCUCUCUUGGAACGCUGUAACAUUAUAGGUGGCGGCCAUCUUGGACCAAUGCCUGUACACCCAAAAUAUGAAGGUACUGUAGAGGUACUGUAGUAGUACAAUACAAUUCACUACAGUUUUUUUUAUUUUCUUAAAAUGAGAUUACACAGCCAAUCGAUAUGAUAUGACAAUUUGGGCGAGACAGAUAGUUUUGAGUGAGGUAGACUUCCAUUAUUUGUUAACUACAUUGGCUUCAUAGAUCCAAAAAAAAAAAAAACCCAAAAAAUCAUUUAACCGAAUGGAAAAUUGUAUAUAUUUUAAUGUUCCUUUAACCUGAUAUUUGAAAUGACGACAAAACCAAAAUGGUACGCAGUCAGUUAGUUAUGAAAUGGGGAGACACUGUUUUGUAUCAGAGGCAUUGUAACAGUCUUCCUUAGAGGAAAACACACCCACACACACACACACACACACACUGCAUAGUUCCAUCAUGUUCAUUCAUCAUGUGCAGAAGGAGAAACCGUCUCAGUUCCUGUGUCACUUUCUUUCUGUGUUUUUUUCCCCCUCCUGGUUUCACAUGUUGUAGGCCACGUAAAUGGGGUCGAGCUGAUCGGCGAGGAAGCCAUCGCGCAGGUGCAUGCGCUGCUUCUCCCCACGAGAGUUGAUGGGAAUGACGCCCGGGUCGACCACCACCACCACGCCCACGAUCAGGUAGUGCUCCUCCAAAACCACGUUGGUGACGAGGGGAACGAGAUCCAGAGCCUCCUGCUCCAAGCCUUCCAGCUCCACCACCACCACCAGCAGGUUAGUCCACGUGAACACGGCACUGCAGAGGACAAACACCGCGUGUAAAGAAGUGUGCAUACUGUACAGCACAGGAAGGAAAAACAGUAAUGAAAGUAAUAUAUAUCUGCACACUUUCGGCACGGACUCGGG
ensembl:lncRNA